GACGAACGCUGGCGGCGUGCUUAACACAUGCAAGUCGAGCGGUAAGGCCCUUUCGGGGGUACACGAGCGGCGAACGGGUGAGUAACACGUGGGUGACCUGCCCUCAGCUCUGGGAUAAGCCUGGGAAACCGGGUCUAAUACUGGAUAUGACUCCAUGACGCAUGUUGUGGGGUGGAAAGCCUUGUGCGGCUGAGGAUGGGCCCGCGGCCUAUCAGCUUGUUGGUGGGGUGAGGCCUACCAAGGCGACGACGGUAGCCGGCCUGAGAGGGCGACCGGCCACACUGGGACUGAGACACGGCCAGACUCCUACGGGAGGCAGCAGUGGGGAAUCUUGCGCAAUGGACGAAAGCCUGACGCAGCGACGCCGCGUGAGGGAUGACGGCCUGGUGUAACUACUUC
rnacentral:rRNA from 1 species